GACAGAGGGUGCAAACGUUGCUCGGAAUCAUUGGGCGUAAAGGGUGCGUAGGCGGCGCGGUAAGUCGGGUGUGAAAUCUCGGAGCUUAACUCCGAAACUGCAUUCGAUACUGCCGUGCUUGAGGACUGGAGAGGAGACUGGAAUUUACGGUGUAGCGGUGAAAUGCGUAGAUAUCGUAAGGAAGACCAGUGGCGAAGGCGGGUCUCUGGACAGUUCCUGACGCUGAGGCACGAAGGUCAGGGGAGCAAACGGG
rnacentral:rRNA from 1 species